rnacentral:misc_RNA from 1 species
GAUGAAGAACGCAGCGAAAUGCGAUAAGUAAUGGGAAUUGCAGAAUUCAGUGAAUCAUCGAAUCUUUGAACGCACAUUGCGCCCGCCAGUAUUCUGGCGGGCAUGCCUGUUCGAGCGUCAUUACAACCCUCAGGCCCCCGGGCCUGGCGUUGGGGAUCGGCGGAAGCCCCCUGCGGGCACAACGCCGUCCCCCAAAUACAGUGGCGGUCCCGCCGCAGCUUCCAUUGCGUAGUAGCUAACACCUCGCAACUGGAGAGCGGCGCGGCCACGCCGUAAAACACCCAACUUCUGAAUGUUGACCUCGAAUCAGGUAGGAAUACCCGCUGAACUUAAGCAUAUCAAUAAGCGGAGGA